rnacentral:rRNA from 1 species
AUUGAACGCUGGCGGCAUGCCUUACACAUGCAAGUCGAACGGUAACGGGCCUUCGGGUGCCGACGAGUGGCGAACGGGUGAGUAAUGUAUCGGAACGUACCUUUCAGUGGGGGAUAACGUCGCGAAAGUUACGCUAAUAACGCAUAUUCUGUGCGCAGGAAAGCAGGGGACCGGAAGACCUUUCGCUGAUUGAUCGGCCGAUAUCAGAUUAGCUAGUUGGUGAGGUAAAGGCGCACCAAGGCGACGAUCUGUAGCGGGUCGGAGAGGAUGAGCCGCCACACUGGAACUGAGACACGGUCCAGACUCGUACGGGAGGCAGCAGUGGGGAAUUUUGGACAAUGGGGCAACCCUGAUCCAGCCAUGCCGCGUGAGUGAAGAAGGCCUUCGGGUUGUAAAGCUCUUUCGGCCGGGAAGAAAUCGUAUCAGCUAAUACCUGGUGCGGAUGACGGUACCGGCAUAAGAAGCACCGGCUAACUACGUGCCAGCCGCCGCCGUAACAC